rnacentral:rRNA from 1 species
CCGAGGAAAAGAAAUCAACCGAGAUUCCCCCAGUAGCGGCGAGCGAACGGGGAGGAGCCCAGAGCCUGAAUCAGUGUGUGUGUUAGUGGAAGCGUCUGGAAAGGCGCGCGAUACAGGGUGACAGCCCCGUACACAAAAAUGCACAUAUUGUGAGCUCGAUGAGUAGGGCGGGACACGUGGUAUCCUGUCUGAAUAUGGGGGGACCAUCCUCCAAGGCUAAAUACUCCUGACUGACCGAUAGUGAACCAGUACCGUGAGGGAAAGGCGAAAAGAACCCCGGCGAGGGGAGUGAAAAAGAACCUGAAACCGUGUACGUACAAGCAGUGGGAGCCUCUUAAUGGGGUGACUGCGUACCUUUUGUAUAAUGGGUCAGCGACUUAUAUUCUGUAGCAAGGUUAACCGAAUAGGGGAGCCGAAGGGAAACCGAGUCUUAACUGGGCGUUAAGUUGCAGGGUAUAGACCCGAAACCCGGUGAUCUAGCCAUGGGCAGGUUGAAGGUUGGGUAACACUAACUGGAGGACCGAACCGACUAAUGUUGAAAAAUUAGCGGAUGACUUGUGGCUGGGGGUGAAAGGCCAAUCAAACCGGGAGAUAGCUGGUUCUCCCCGAAAGCUAUUUAGGUAGCGCCUCGUGAAUUCAUCUCCGGGGGUAGAGCACUGUUUCGGCAAGGGGGUCAUCCCGACUUACCAACCCGAUGCAAACUGCGAAUACCGGAGAAUGUUAUCACGGGAGACACACGGCGGGUGCUAACGUCCGUCGUGAAGAGGGAAACAACCCAGACCGCCAGCUAAGGUCCCAAAGUCAUGGUUAAGUGGGAAACGAUGUGGGAAGGCCCAGACAGCCAGGAUGUUGGCUUAGAAGCAGCCAUCAUUUAAAGAAAGCGUAAUAGCUCACUGGUCGAGUCGGCCUGCGCGGAAGAUGUAACGGGGCUAAACCAUGCACCGAAGCUGCGGCAGCGACGCUUAUGCGUUGUUGGGUAGGGGAGCG